UCUGCGCUUGCCGCCGCUGCGGCGCGGGGCAACUGGGAAAAAAGUUCUGCUCAACUGACCAGUGAGCCUACCGACCAUCGGCCGACCAGUGCACCAACCCGCUUCUCCUUACCUUGGUCCCAGAGUCGGAUGAGCACGCGGGUCCCGUCCGCACUGCAGCCAACUUGAAGGAGCCCCUCUCCGGCCAGCGCGCUCCCCUUCGCCCUUUCCCCGCCCCCACGGGUGUAUGCCCGGCGGCAAAGCGGGCUCCUCCAGGGAAUAAGGUCAUUGAGACUGAAGAUCUGGGUAAAGAGUAAAUAUCAUUCUUGCGUCCAGGGAAUCACUGAGGGACUUUCACAAUAACCAAGGAGGACUUGGCACAUCUGCCCCAGUGAAGAGGAGCCCUGCCCCGAGGCUCCAAUGGUGAAACUUAAGCAUGGCUCAGGCAGGGGAUCUACUUGAUGCAGCCGAGCUGGAGAGUGGAGGGUGGGAACUGGAGUGGAUCUCUUUUCUGAGGUCUGGGCUCUAACCUAAAGUUUCUGCAGACCUGGAAGCGAUCAGCAGAUGAAUUCUCUUUUCAAAGUUGUGAACUGGGGGACUUUUCACAGAGUGGGGCUUGGUUAGAGGAGAAGAAAGCCCCAGUGGAUCAAAAAUGGAGAUUGCUAAAGGAAGAUGAGCAACAGCUGCUUCUCUCACCUCCUCCUGCCCAGACCGGCUUCCCAGCGUGAGACCUGAGUAGUCAUGCAGAUGCCUGUGCUCAGAAGGGCCUGCACUUGGUUUAAUACUCUCAAGCUGUUAUCUUGAAAUUCUUAAUAAUUUUCACUUUGAAGUCGUGCUUUGCUUACGGGACAGUGGAGCGUGCACGGGAGUAGAGGAGCUCCACGCCACACGUUGCCUGCUAUUCCUCGCAGCCCUACUGCAUACAGCUUCGGCAAAGCCCCUUGAGCAAAGAAUUUCGGUGGGAGUUCAGUGAGACUCAAGGCAACUCUAAGGUAAGGCUAUGACUGAGUAAGUGGUGGUGCUGACACCUCCUGACGUCAUGCUUUCUGUUUGCACCAGAACUUGCUUCUAACACAGAAAGAAGGCAAUGGCAUUCUAAGAAACACUAACAACCAAGGAACCCCAUCAUACUAUUUACUCAUGUUAUUUCCCUGUAUUUGCCAUACCAUAACUCCUUUUCCUUUCAGCCCUUCCUUACUUCUCAGUAACCCCAAGGUAGAGCAUGCUGAUAAAAUGCACACGUAUUAAGAAGUAAAAUAAAAACAGGUUCAUUU